UGGAAGUGAGGCUGAGGGGCCAAAGCGUAUGCCAUUACGCGUUUCCUUUGGCCCCUCAGCCUCACUUCCA